UUCUGACCUCGAAUCAGGUGGGACUACCCGCUGAACUUAAGCAUAUCAAUAAGCGGAGGAAAAGAAACUAACAAGGAUUCCCCUAGUAACGGCGAGUGAAGUGGGAUGAGCUCAAAUUUAAAAUCUGGUAGUCUUUGGCUGCCCGAGUUGUAAUCUAGAGAAGUGUUUUCUGUGCUGGACUGUGUUCAAGUUUCCUGGAUAUGGAACAUCAUAGAGGGUGAGAAUCCCGUCCUUGACACAGAUUCCCUAGUGCUCUGUGAUGCACUCUCAACGAGUCGAGUUGUUUGGGAUUGCAGCUCAAAAUGGGAGGUAA
rnacentral:rRNA from 1 species